UUGGGUCUUGUCUUUUCUCUGCUGCUCUGGGUUCGGGCGCACGUAUGGACGCUAGAGGACCCGGGACAUCCCUCUUGUUCGAGUUUGGUUCCGACCCAGAGAGCUCGUACAGGUUGGAGGAUGGGACCAGACCUAUCCCCGUGCAGAUCAGUCCUUGCAGCGGGGCUCCGCAUCUCAUCGGUCCUCACGGAUUCGGCUGCGUCCGAGGGUGAUCACAGGUUGUCCUGAUGAUGAUCUAUUCACCUAUCUAAAUGGUCACCAUUGAUCUGCCCAGGGUUGAACACAUGGAAAGAGGUGGAAGUGGAGCAGCUGGGCCCUGUAUACUCCUGAGAAACCUCCAGAGUUAAAAGGUGCUGGUAACAGUGACCGGCUUUGCUUGUCCACUCAAAGGUCCAGCACCUCCUCUGGGGCCCAGGAAUGAUUUGAGGGGAACUGUAAUCUGUAUUUCUGGUCAACUUCAGUCUGAAGUUUGAGGUCUAAAGAAAGAACAAAGCAUGUAUAAUGGAAUCCAACUCUUUGAAGACGAGAAUUUUCAAGCAAUUUCUUGUAUAAUCUGGCUGUUUUAAGUUUUCAAAUAAUCUUUUCCAUCCUUAAAAAUAA